rnacentral:rRNA from 1 species
UACCAGCUCUCCGAGUGGUGUGGAUGUUUAUUGGGCCUAAAGCAUCCGUAGCUGGCUGGGCAAGUCCCCUGUUAAAUCCACCGAUUUAAUCGUUGGUGUGCGGGGGAUACUGUUCGGCUAGGGGACGGGAGAGGCCGACGGUAUUUUCGGGGUAGGGGUGAAAUCCUAUAAUCCCGGGAAGACCACCAGUGGCGAAGGCUGUCGGCUAGAACGCGCCCGACGGUGAGGGAUGAAAGCUGGGGGAGCGAACCGGAUUAGAUACCCGGGUAGUCCCAGCUGUAAACGAUGCAGGCUAGGUGUUUGGGCGGCCACGUGCCGCUCUAGUGCCGCAGAGAAGUCGUUAAGCCUGCCGCCUGGGGAGUACGGCCGCAAGGCUGAAACUUAAGGAAUUGGCGGGGGAGCACCACAAGGGUGAAGCUUGCGGUUU